CAGUAGCCACGGUAAUACGAAGGGGGCUAGCGUUGUUCGGAUUUACUGGGCGUAAAGCGCACGUAGGCGGACUUUUAAGUCAGGGGUGAAAUCUCGGGGCUCAACCCCGGAACUGCCUUUGAUACUGGAAGUCUUGAGUAUGGUAGAGGUGAGUGGAAUUCCGAGUGUAGAGGUGAAAUUCGUAGAUAUUCGGAGGAACACCAGUGGCGAAGGCGGCUCACUGGACCAUUACUGACGCUGAGGUGCGAAAGCGUGGGGAGCAAACAGGAUUAGAUACCCCGGUAGUCCCUGUCUCUUAUAC
rnacentral:rRNA from 1 species